ensembl:lincRNA
CUACAGGGCGUGAAGGGUGCGGUGGACCAUGCAGCAGCAUUUGGAAGAAUUGCCUUCUCUUGCCCCCAGAAAGAGGUAGCGUUUGAAACCAGAUCUUUCACACUCUGCGACUAGCUAGUUCAGCCCAGCCAAGAACCUUGCCCUUCCUUUCUCGAGGUUCAUUCUGGUUAUGGCUUUUGUAUCAAGUUCAGCAAUUGUUUCAAGAGCAGCUGAGAUAAUAAAAUCAAACAAAUGGCGCCUUGGUUCUUUCUGGGCUCUGACACUCCUCUGGGGCUGGCGAGGGCCGUGUCGUGAGUAGUGUGUGACCCCUGGCUCACCUUGCAUCUUUGUUUUCCUCCAGUUACCAAGCUUAGAAGAUUUGAUGAAAAGAGAGAAGCAGAAGAUUCUGACGCCCCUGGUGAGCCUGGAUACCCCGGGGAAAGCAACAGUGCAGGUGGUCAUUCUGGCCGACCCUGUAAGUAUUACUCGGGAGGGGCAGGCUGGUUGAGGGGUUCUUCAGACAUGUCUUUUUGGCAGAUGUCUUUUCUCUUUAUUGAUGUAGGAUGGACAUGAAAUUUGCUUUGUUGGGGAUGAAGCAUUUCGAGAACUUUCUAAGAUGGAUCCAGAGGGAAGCAGAUUGUUGGAUGAUGUGAGUCUCAUUUCUAAACUGAUGUCACCCUGGGCCUGAGGGGGUUGGUGUUAGGUGUGUGUGAGAAGGGCCUAAGCAACAGGGUCCAGGUUCUCAGGGUCAGAACUACGUCGCUGUUGGGUGGACCUGAGCCAAGCGCCUAUGUCUUCACUGCCACCUGUGUAGACCGCCUGUCUAGACUCAGCAUUCGUGCCUUCCUCCAACUGCAGGCCACUCUGAACCCUGCUGUUGGGUCUGUCCUUAUUCUGCUGUCUGUGUGGAGGUGCCUGCGUCCCCUCCCCUCCGCUCUGGAUCUGUCCUUACUCUGCUGUCUGCGUGGAGGUGCCUCCGUCCCCACCCCUCCGCUCUGGUUCUGUCCUUACUCUGCUGUCUAUGUGAAGGUGCCUCCGUCCUCUCCCCCUUCAGUCUGCAGCUCCUCAGGUGUCUCUUCUCUGUUCUGCUGCAUCAGUCUGUUCUUCCAGUGAUUCCUCUCGUCAGCACGCAAACAGGCACUGGAAGCUCCCAGCUUUUAAAAACCUUUCACUGACCCCAUAUCUGUCUCCUCUCCAGAUUUCUUCUUUUACAAGUCUGAGUGCGCACUGUUUCUCCGUCUCACCUCCCGUUUCAUGCCAGUCUGUUCUGCGCUCGCUCCCUUACUCAGUUAAGUGCUUUUGUUUCUAGCCAGAUACGGCAACCACUUUGAGAUUCUCUUCACACUCGGUAGCUCAGAAGCAUUAGAAGCAGUUGCUGGAUCCUGGCUCCCAGCACAUACCUGGCAUGUACUGGACGUUCCAGGAAUUCUUUGUGGAAUGAUUAAAGGAAUGAAUCAGUCUUUAGUUCUGUUGCAUAUCUAUGUGGCUGACCUUCAACAGGUUACUUAAAUUCUAUGAAUUUUAGUCUCCUUACCUGAAAAUUUCAGAAAAUAAGAGUCUCUACCUCAUAAGAUUGCUAUGGUUUAUAGAGCUUGGCAAAUUACUGACAUAAUAGUAGAUGUACGAUUAAUGUUAAAGCAGGAAAUGUAUAGGAAAUACAGUCUUUAUAAAUUUUAUCCUGAAGGAAAAUAGAAUCUCAGCCAUCCUCUCAGCUGACAGAUUUGCCAGACUCUUCCUCCUCGUUCUUUAUUUAAUUAAUUACUUUUUUUUUUUUUUUGAAAUGGAGUCUCCAUCCUCAGCCUCUUGAGUAGCUGGGACUAUAGGCCCGUGCCACCACACCCAGCUAAUUUUUGUAUUUUUACUAGAGACGGGGUUUCACUAUGUUGGCCAGGAUGGUCUCGAGCUCCUGACCUCGUGAUCUGCCUGCCUCAGCCUCCCAAAGUGCUAGGAUUACAUGCAUGAGCCACCAAGCCUGGCUUAAUUAGUUACUUUUUUUGAGAUGGAGUCUCCCUCUGUCGCCCAGACUGGAGUGCAGUGGUGCAAUAUCGGCUCACAUCAACCCCAACCUCCCAGGUUCAGGCUAUUCACCUGCCUGAGUCUCCCAAGUAGCUGGGAUUACAGGUAUGCGCACCACCACGCUGGCUAAUUUUUGUAUUUUUAGUAGAGAUGGAGUUUUGCCAGGUUGGCUAGGCUAGUCUCAAACUCCCGGCCUCAAAUGAUCCACCCACCUUGGCGUCCCAAAGUGCUGGGAUUACAGGCAUGAGCUACCACACCUGGCCCUAUUUUAUUUUUUUAGGACG